UAGCGUUGCUCGGAAGCACUGGGCGUAAAGCGCACGUAGGCGGAUUGCUAAGUCAGGGGUGAAAUCCUGGAGCUCAACUCCAGAACUGCCUUUGAUACUGGCGAUCUCGAGUCCGGGAGAGGUGAGUGGAACUGCGAGUGUAGAGGUGAAAUUCGUAGAUAUUCGCAAGAACACCAGUGGCGAAGGCGGCUCACUGGCCCGGUACUGACGCUGAGGUGCGAAAGCGUGGGGAGCAAACAGG
rnacentral:rRNA from 1 species